GUUUGGAAGAGAUUGAGAGCAUAUUAGGAAUUCAAGUAGAGACGAUUACUCAACUAACAGAACUUGCAUCCUCCAAAAAGAUUGCUUUUGGAGAUUCUUCAUAAGUUUGUCGAACAAUAAAGAAGCUUAUAUCACAGAUGUAAACCGUUGCUGUUGCAGCUGAAGCUAUUCAAGCACUGGGCAACCUUUAUAGGGGUCUGAGAACACUUCCCAAG